AGCCCUUGUUACUUUGUCAGCAAUCUCCUGGUAUGAUUUCUCAAGGAAACGUCUACAAUUUGUCCCUCUAGCUCUUUCUGAAUUCCAGUGUACAGUAUGAAAGAUGGGCGUCCUUUCCAAAGGAGCUCAGAUGCUUGUCCUAAAAGGUACUUGCCAAAGACUCCAAAUAUCACCUCUGUCUGCCACUUCAAGCACCACUGGAUCCACUGAGUCAUCUGACCCACGUGGAACAGCAACGUGCACAACAGCCAGGACCUGUUGCCGAGACUUCCCUUCUCUCACUGACCAACCAGCAUAUCAUUAUCAGUGUAACAGGCCAGCACGAUGUUCUGCGGAAGGGG